UAUAAUGCACUAAAACUUAAAAAAAAUUAACAUUGCAGACAAAAAAUACGAUGAUUUGUAACUUUUCUUGUAUUAUUAAUGGAUUUAUUAUUAUUUCAAUUUUAGCCAAUGAAGCGAAUAUUAAGGAGCAGAAAGCGCUUAAGCGUUUAAGUACACCAAACAUCCGUAACUUAAGUUUCUCCUCAGAUACAGGCAAAAAGAAGAAACAAAAGAAGGUUGUUAAGAAAAAAAAAACUUCCCAACCGCUGAAGCCAAACAAAGGGAGCAUAAUAAAAUUUUUGAAAGACGUUCAGAAUUAUUAAAGCAACGAAAAACUUUUCAAGAAUCUGACGAAGAUUCUUUGGAAAAUGAGGAAACUAAUGAUACGAUUCUUUCUCCGUCGACUUCAACGGACACACGCAUUCUUUUUCAUAAUGAUGAUUUUGGUCCUACUUCAAACAAUAAUUUGUUGCAUCGAGGCUCAGAUCGUUCGCCUCCAAAUACGCGUCCGUCUACUGAAGAUGAGGAAGACGCAUCACAUGACCGUACUGGCGACCUUUCAUCCUCUGCAUCUAGUAAAACUCAUGGGCAUUCACGCUCUUUAUAUUCAAAUUCGAACAGGACAAAUAGAAAAGUGUUGGAUCGACGCUCAGUUCGUUCGCCUCCAAAUACGCGUCCGUCUACUGAAGAUGAGGAAGACGCAUCACAUGACCGUACUGGCGACCUUUCAUCCUCUGCAUCUAGUAAAACUCGUGGGCAUUCACGCUCUUUAUUUUCAAAUUCGAAUAGGACAAAUAGAAAAGUGUUGGAUCGACGCUCAGUUCGUUCGCCUCCAAAUAUACGUCCGUCUACUGAAGUUGACUGAUUUACACAAUCAAGAGACAUCAAAUGAAAAUUCUCGCCAAGUAGAGGUCCGUAAUACAAAUGCACAUAAUGCAUUUCAAAGGGUAGAGGAAAUUGUGGACAAUGAUCAAGUACAUGUUGGUGAAAACGUUCAUAUUCACUUGGAUGUAUGGGAAUCUAUGAAACUUAAAAACGAUUCUAAAUUCGUCAAGGAAUUAGCUGUAAAAAUCUGGGGAAGAGAAGGUCUUCAAAAGAAAUGUCUUAAUUAAACAAGAGCUCAUAAGCAUGCAAAUGAGGAUGAGGUUAGACAGGUUCUAACGCCCUCAAAAUACAAAUUCGUAAAAGAUUUGCUCUAUGAAAAAGUUACCAAAGCAAAAAUUACAGGUGCACAACGCAAGAGGAGAGUAGACAAAACGUGGAAAUAUUUAUCUGAGAAAAUAUAUUACGAGAGAAGAAAAUUAAAAGACGGACAAAAUGUUCAAGUUUCUUAAAGUGUCUUUUAUUAAUCACAUUUGGUAUCACUGUAAUAAAUAUGCAAUUUUAAGUUUUGAUAGCAUUUAUAAAUAUUUUAAAUAAAGUCUU